ACUCCUACGGGAGGCAGCAGUGGGGAAUUUUGGACAAUGGGGGGCAACCCUGAUCCAGCCAUGCCGCGUGCGGGAAGAAGGCCUUCGGGUUGUAAACCGCUUUGUCAGGGAAGAAAAGACUCCUACUAAUACUGGGGGUUCAUGACGGUACCUGAAGAAUAAGCACCGGCUAACUACGUGCCAGCAGCCGCGGUAAUACGUAGGGUGCAAGCGUUAAUCGGAAUUACUGGGCGUAAAGCGUGCGCAGGCGGUUAUGCAAGACAGAUGUGAAAUCCCCGGGGCUCAACCUGGGAACUGCAUUUGUGACUGCAUGGCUAGAGUACGGUAGAGGGGGAUGGAAUUCCGCGUGUAGCAGUGAAAUGCGUAGAUAUGCGGAGGAACACCGGAUGGCGAAGGCAAUCCCCUGGACCUGUACUGACGNUCAUGCACGAAAGCGUGGGAGCAAACAGGAUUACGAUACCCCGUGGUAGGUCAGUC
rnacentral:rRNA from 1 species